ensembl:lncRNA
AAGCUGAUCCUUCACCACAACCAUGGCAACGGCAGAGGCUUAUCACUCACUACGACAGACUUGAGGGGCUCUCUGCCAUCUGAUCCUUCACCGCAACGUGGAGACGGAUCUCUACGUGGAGACUGAUCUCUCACCACGACACGAGCUUCCUGCCUUCCGAUCCUUCUCUACGGACCGUUUGCUGACGGACUUCCCUGGGCCUGCUACCUGAGACCUGCUGCUUCCUCCCUGACCUGCACCUUCUCGUUGCCCAAGACCGGCCUCGCUGCUCCUGCCCUUCAGCCUUGGACCGUCGGAACAUCGUGCAACGGGACUGCUGCCGGAUCCUGGUGAUUGCUCAGGACCAUGUCAAGGUGGUUUCUGAAGAUAUCCAAGGAGGAGACUUCACAGCUUCUCUGGACAACCUAUGCCACUGCUGAGUCACCUUCACAGUAAAGAAGAGCUUCUUGAUGUUCAGACAACACUUCCUGUCUUUCAGUUCAUGCCCAUAGCCUCUUUUCAUGUCACUGGCACCGCUGAAGAGAGUCUGGCUGCACUGUCUUUGCACUCUCCUUUCAGGUGCUUAUAGACAUUAAUGAGAACCCCUCCCAAGCCUGUUCUUCUCCAGGCUGAAACCUCAUCUCUCUCAGCCUCUUCCCACAGACGAUAUGUUGCAAUCCCUUCAUUAUCUUGCUGGUGGCUCUGAUGAACCCUCUCUGGUGUCUCUAGCCCCAAGUUGGAUUGAGUACUGAAGGUGCAGCCUCAACAGCACUGCAUAGAGGGUAAAAGACCCACUGGCAAUACUUUGCUUAAUGCAGCCCUCUUUGCUACACAUAUACUGCUAGCUUAUAGUCCACUUGGUGCCCACCAGGAUCCCAGGUCUUCUACACGGCUGCUUUCCAGACAUGUGGACCCCAGCUUAUCUGGAUGCCUCAGACUGUUUCCUAACCAGAUGCAGGGAUCUGCACAUCCCCUUGUUGAAUUUCAUGGGCUAGUUCAUGUCAGCCCAUUUGUCCAGCCAAAAGAGUCAAGGCCCUUCUGGAUGGCAGUACAACUCUCUGGCCUAUUAGCAGUAGAUCCCAGUUCUAUUUAACCAGUUGGAAUUUUGGUGCAUUAUUUUGGUGUCAUCAGCCCUCCACAUUUAGUGUCUGAUUUAGAUGUGGUUACAGUGCUUGUCUUCCCAGCCAACCACUAAGACCCUGCUUUCCAGGUAGUCAUUGGAUAUCUGUCUGCCAGUGGGCAGAAGUGAAUUAUUUGCUUUGCUUGUGCACAUAGUUGUUUAUUCAUCUGUUAAGCUAUCAACUAAUGAGUCUUGUUGUAUUCAUUCUUCUUUCUCUCUGUCCAACAUGAGAAGGAACCGUUCAAGAGAUUGUAUGGGUGUUUGGCAGCUGGCCAGGGUCAACUCACUACAAAGAAAAUAAAAUAAUCUUGAAAGUGAAAAAAAUAUUAAAAAAUUAUUUGAUGUAAGCUUACAAAGAUCUGUACUGUUUUGUCCAGAGACAUAUGGAUAGACGCUCAUGUUCAUUUGUCCCAGAAGCCCACUGUGACCAGAAAGUUACUCCAGUUUACAGAAGCCUGGGGGCUUUAUGCAAAAUGCCUGUGGGCCAUGGAUGAAGCUGGCAGUGGUUUGGAAGCACCAAAGUGCCAAGCCAGAGGUAUUGCCUCACGGGCUGUUAGCACUACUGUCCAUCUAGCUUCCACCCCUGUGGUGAACAGGGACUUUUGAAGGAAAGAAAUAUCUGUAGACCUCAUGCAGCCUUUCACUGUUCAGAGCUGCAAAGUAUUUCCAGCCUGGCAGUAUUCUUUUGAAAAAGCCUAAAAUAUAUUCUGUCUAAAUAAUUCACUCUGGGUGAGGAAGGGACACUCUGUAGCUAUGUGAUAAUGGGAGGAGCAAACUGGGUUAAAGCAGCAUGCCUCAACAAGCAAUGGACAGCAGAAAAUAAAUAAAUAAAUAAAUAUCAACCACUCACAAGUUCAUUUAGUUUGAAAACGCUGGUUUUCACUUUGGUCAUGCUCCUGACUCUGAGAUGUAUUUCCUGUGAAUAUCUGAAUAUUAGAAACUCACUGAAAUGAAUGCUUAGGUCAUUGAAGUUUAAGCUUAAACAAACAAAUAUUUAAGCAAAUGUCAUUUUGAAUCAUAUUUUCACCUAGAGAAUCACAGUAAGUUUCAUACUGGCCAGUUACACCAGUCAUUAAGACAGGUGGAAUAAAGGAUAAAACUGGUAGUUGAAAAGCAUGUAAAGAUUUGCAAAUACCCAAAUCAAGCUCUGCAGUUACUAUGUACAAAGAGCUAAGUGUACAAACCACAGAACCUAAUGUCAACUUUAACUUAUCAGAUAUUAAGGCCAUAUCUCUGAGAUCUUAAUUAACUGAGUAUCAACAGAUUGCACACUUACAUAACAGUUCAAAAAUAUACAAUUAUUUCUUUAAAAUCUUGGAAGCCAUUUGAUAAUUGUUAAAUAAAUCACUCAGUUGUCAUUUAAAUUAGAGAAUUACUAUUCUGCUAUUCAAUACUAUAUGCAAAACUACUAUAAACAUGAAAGCACUAAAAUAAAUUUUAAAUAUUUUUU